rnacentral:rRNA from 2 species
UAGAGUUUGAUCCUGGCUCAGGACGAACGCUGGCGGCGUGCUUAACACAUGCAAGUCGAACGGAAAGGCCCUUCGGGGUACUCGAGUGGCGAACGGGUGAGUAACACGUGGGUGAUCUGCCCUGCACUUUGGGAUAAGCCUGGGAAACUGGGUCUAAUACCGAAUAUGAUCAUGGCCUUCAUGGGUUGUGGUGGAAAGCUUUUGCGGUGUGGGAUGGGCCCGCGGCCUAUCAGCUUGUUGGUGGGGUAAUGGCCUACCAAGGCGACGACGGGUAGCCGGCCUGAGAGGGUGUCCGGCCACACUGGGACUGAGACACGGCCCAGACUCCUACGGGAGGCAGCAGUGGGGAAUCUUGCGCAAUGGGCGAAAGCCUGACGCAGCAACGCCGCGUGCGGGAAGAAGGCUCUCGGGUUGUAAACCGCUUUCAGCAGGAACGAAAAUGACGGUACCUGCAGAAGAAGGUGCGGCCAACUACGUGCCAGCCGCCGCGGUAAUAC